GGUCCAUGGACUCCUGAAGAAGAUCAGAUACUCAUCAAUUACAUUCAACAAUAUGGCCAUGGCAACUGGAGGGCACUUCCUAAACAUGCAGGUUUAUUGAGGUGUGGAAAGAGCUGCAGGCUCCGGUGGACAAAUUACCUGAGACCGGACAUUAAACGAGGAAAUUUCACCAGGGAAGAAGAGGAUACCAUCAUCAAAUUGCAUGAAAUGCUGGGGAAUAGAUGGUCAGCAAUUGCAGCAAGAUU
rnacentral:misc_RNA from 1 species